UUGCUUUGGCAGUACAUACAUACUGAAGUUGGAAAGAUACGGAGGAGAUUAACAAAGCCCCUGUGCAAGGGUGACAUGCAGAUUUGUGAAGAGUUCCUCAAGGCA